UAUUUUAACGUAUAUUUAAGAACUAAUUUAUGAAUUUUAGAAAUAAAUAUAUAAAUAACGUAUAUUUAUUUAUUACAUUUUUAAUGUUUUUAAUGAUUUACGAAAUCAAAAAUAAUUUUUGAAUUUUAUGUUGAAAAGAAUUUGAAUUACGAAAACACAUUGGAAUUUGGAAAAUAAGCCUAAUCGAUUUUGGAUUCAAACGUAAAAGUUCAAUUCUAAUCCUAGCCCAAUUUGAUAAAGCCCAAAACAAAUAACCCCCAUCCUAAUUUCAAUAUGCACGUGAACCAACUCUCCUCUCCUCUCAUUCAACUUCACGUGAAAAUAAGAUUUGCAAACCCUCAUUGCUCCUUCACGUAAUCCUGCAGAAUAGCUUCACCCUUGCCGCCGCCGGUCAACCGACCACACCGGACCACCGCUUCCCCGUCCGAUAACUCUCUCUCCCCUUCUCUUCUCUUUCGUUUUUCCUUUCAUCUCUCGUUGUUCUUUGUUUUCUUCCCUCACUUGUGCUCUGUUUUGCGCACAACCAGGCCAGCCACCACCGACCACCGGUGUUCCGCGCAACCGUCGGCCUUCUGUGACCUUAACGUCGUUUCCCCCUUGCUGGUCGGUGUCUGUUUUGUGUUCUCCUCCCUCAUUCCUUCUGCCCCUCUCACAUCGCUGCACGUGCAACCACCACUGCGCGACCACCUAGAGAAUCAUCCGCGUCGCUCAGCGCCGACAACCACCACCAGCCGCGCCGCCCUACUGCCGGCAUCACUCCUGUUAUUCUCUCUCUUUUGGGUGGAGAAUUCUCCGUAGGCGACUUUUGAAUUCUUAAAGUGGUCUCGCAUUUUGUUUACACAAGUCUUUAAGGAUCAAUAAGCGUUGACCAUCUACAGGUUUGAAGAUGAUGCAUCAUUGGGAUCGGGAUUAGAGAGCUUGUAGUUCUAUUCGUUUAAUUAAGUGAUUUAAUUUGUUAACUUGGAUUUGAAAUUUGUCGUACUAUUCGUAUUUCCUUAAUUCAGUUAAAUGGGUUUGGACCUAAUAUGUAAUAGAUUAUUUAUGAACCUAAAAGUUAGUUUUAUGUUUUCCGCUGCAAAAUUCUGAAUAAGCCGAUACGUUUUCA